GCAUUGUUGGUUCAGUGGUAGAAUUCUCGCCUGCCACGCGGGAGGUCCAGGUGCGACUCCCGGCCAAUGCA
rfam:Danio rerio chromosome 4, GRCz11 reference primary assembly.